rnacentral:rRNA from 1 species
UGGGCGAAGACUGAAUGCAGCCCUGCCGCGUGAGUGAUGACGCCUUAGGGUUGUAAGCUCUUUUGCUAGGGAAGAUAAUGAGGGUAACUGGAGAAUAAGACCUGGCUAGUUUCUUGCCAGCAGCCUCGGUAAUA